rnacentral:rRNA from 1 species
AUGUUUGGAGUUGACUUAUCUGCACCUCAGAGCAUCUACAUCCGUCAACACAAAAUUCGGGCCCUCAAGCCCGGUCAGUGGAUUGCUAGUGUUGCUCGUCCGCACCUCAGAGCAUCUAUGGCCACAGACAUCAAAUUCGGGCUCUCAAACGUGGGCGUGUCUGCAGGCAGUAUAUCUGGCCAUCCACCGGGCUGGGCCGGGCUUUGGGCCGGGCCUGACCAAGCCCGAGGUAGAAAACUCAGGCUCGAGCCCGGCCCGGCCCGACCGUCGGGCCUACUUUUCAGGCCCAAGCCUGGCCCGCCAUUGCAAAAAAACCACUGGGCCUCAGGCCUCAGGCCGGGCGUCUUCAGUAAAUGGCAAAAACAGCAGGCUCGGGCCCGACCCGUCCUAAUACCCACGCUAUUCAUCGCCGAAGAUGUCCACGAACUCCAUGCCGGGCUCCGGGUAGAUGGUCGCCUGCGCAACUCCAGCUCGUCGCCGAACUCACUAGAGGCUAAGAGUUCGUUGAUCUCCGUCCUUUGCCAUCGGAGGAAGUGCCGGUUGGCCUCCACCGAGGCUUCCGACUGGAUGGACUGUAGGAUGGCGGUCUGCUCAGCCACCUCCUCUGCUUGGGCGACCUCGUACUCCACCAUGGAGUCCUACAUGGUGAAGCCCAGAGCCGGCUUCGCCGCCUCCUUCUUCGACUCCGCCUCCUCCUCCUUCGAAUUUGCUUUCUCCAUGGGUUGGCGAUCCUACUCCAUCUCCGGUUCUCGCCCCCUCUUUCUUUUCCUUCUCCUCCGACUAAGGCGACCAAAGCGACGCCACACGACGUUCACACCCCCAAAGGAUACACCCUUCACACCAUUGACCCGGACGCCACUCCAAUGCGGCGGACGCGUCCGGACGCCCCCGAGCCAUUCUAUAUCUAUUCUAGAUUUGAGCUGCGAUGUGCUGAUCUCCUCCGCCGCCGUCGCUCAGCUCUGUUUGGUCCAGAGGGAGCAAGGGUGGCGUUCGUCCGGCAAUCUCACCGCCGCCACCGGCCACCGGCCACCGCCAUGCCGACGAAUCGACCGAAGGACUGAGAGCCUGUUCGACGGAAUGCCUCACACAAGCAGGGCAGAGAAAUCGUCAAAGUCCUGCAACGAGGACAGUAUCAGCGCCCUGCCGGACGACGUCCUGCACCAUGUCCUUGGCUUCCUGCCAGCGGAUGAGGCAGUGCACACCAGCCUGCUCGCCAAGCGCUGGCGCUACCUUUGGAAAUCCAUGCGCCGCCUUCGCAUCAACGAAAUGAGGAGGUGGGGGACGAGCACCAGCGGCGUUUUCCUUACCAAGUUUGUGAGCUGCCUGCUCCUCCUCCGAGACCCUGGCUCGACUCUGGAUGAGGUCGAGAUCAAGUAUGAUCAUCUGGUUGAAAACGACCUUACUUGGAUAUCAACAUGGAUCCAUCAUGCUUUGUCAUGCCAAACUCAGGUCCUCACUGUCAAGUUCCCUUUGCCGGUGCACGGGCCCCGCUAUUUGGAUGGCCCUCCUCUGGUCUCCCGGUAUUUAAGAAGAUUAGAGAUUUCUGAAGCGAGGUUGAAGAGCAACUUCCUAAAAUUUUCAAGCUGUUCAACACUGGAGGAUCUAAAGAUGAAAGAAUGUGACUUUGAUGCUAGUAGCAUCCUGUCCCAGUCUGUAAAACAUCUGAGCAUCAAGGAUUGUUAUUUCAAGGGUGAUGUCCGGAUUAGUAUUUCUGUCCCAAAUCUUGUUUCUCUGGAACUCAAAUCAUAUGGAGGUAGAACCCCAUUUCUCGAAAGCAUGUUGUCAUUAGAAACCGCAGUUGUCAGUGUUGAAGUCUGGUCGGUUGAUUACUGUCGUAAAGGUUUUUCUGCUGGAGAGUGGUGUGGUACAUGUCUAGAUUGCUGUGGUAAUGAUGGCCUCAAGGGUGGUUGCGUACUUCUUGGAGAGAGAGUUGCUAAUUAUGACAUACUGAAAUUGCUUUUUAUUUUCAAAAGGGAUUUGAGAUGGUGCCCUACAUUUAGCAAGUUAAAGACAUUGUUGCUGAACGAGUGGUGUGUGCAACCUGACCUUCGUGCACUAGUUUGUAUGCUUGAACAUUCGCCGCAAGAAAAACCUGCAUGUGUGGUGGAAGUGGAAGAAAAUCCUGGUUUGGUGGAGAAACCAGCGGCUAUUUCAGGAUACCUGAAGAUUAUUAAAGUGAAAUGUGAAGACGUUGAUGGCAGAGUUUGCAAAGUUCUGAACUUCUUGAGUACAUUUGGCAUUGAAAUUACUAUCCAAAGGACCAAUGGAUUGAUGGAGAAAGUAUGGAACAAAGCCGAGAGGAGAAUGAGGCAUACCGUUUUCUUCUCAACGCCAUGUAGCUUGCUUAUGUGGGCGGCAACACCACUGCCCGACGCCCACGGCUCAGCCACCCCCUUAGAAGCCGCGGCGAAGCGCCCAAACAUUGUGCCUCGCGGGGCGCCCAUGGUAGAUCACCUCCGGUUGUCCUCUUCCGGGAGGUGCACGAGUGCAAGGACAUCUCAAUGCUCAGAUCUAAAUUGGAGAAUCCAGGAAAUACAUUAG